GUGUGGGUCACAAAGAUCACGUACUUCACAAGGUAAUAGAAUAUCAAAGGCAAAGGGAGGCAGGGCGAGAUCACAGGACCGGGGCAAAAUUAAAAUUGCUAAUGAAGUUUCGGGCACCAUUGUCAUUGAUAACAUCUUAUCAGGAGACAGGGUUUUGAGAGCAACCUGUCUGACCACAAUUUAUUAGGUGGGAAUUUCCUCUUCCUAAUAAGCCUGGGAGUGCUAUGGGAGACUGGGGUUUAUUUCAUCCCUACAGUUUCAACCAUAGAAGACAGCCACACCCAAAGGGGCCAUUUCAGAGACCCACCCUCAGGCACGUAUUCUCUUUCCCAGGGAUGUUCCUUGCUGAGAAAAAGAAUUCAGCGAUAUUUCUCCCAUUUGCUUUUGAAAGAAGAGAAAUAUGGCUCUGUUCCGCCUGGCUCACCGGAGGUCAGAGUUUAAGGUUAUCUCUCUUGUUUCCUAAACAUUGCUGUUAUCCUGUUCUUUUUCAAGGUGCCCAGAUUUCAUAUUGUUUAAACACACAUGCUGUACAAUUUGUGCAGUUAACGCAAUUAUCACAGGGUCCUGAGGCGAUGUACAUCCUCCUCGGUUUACGAGAUGACAGGAUUAAGAGAUUAAAGUAAAGACAGGCAUAGGAAAUCACAAGGGUAUUGACUGGGGAAGUGAUAAGUGUCCAUGAAAUCUUCACAAUUUAUGUUUAGAGAUUGCAGUAAAGACAGGCAUAAGAAAUUAUAAAAGUAUUAAUUUGGGGAACUAAUAAAUGUCCAUGAAAUCUUCACAAUCCACGUUCUUCUGUCAUGGCUUCAGCCGGUCCCUCCGUUUGGGGUCCCUGACUUCCCGCAACAGAAGAUUAUAUGGUUUGGAUCUGUGUCCCCACCCAAAUCUCAUGGUCAGUUGUAAUCUGCAAUGUUGGAGGAGGGGCCUGGUGGGAGGUGACUGGAUCAUGGAGGUGGGUUUCUGAUGAAUGUGUAGCACCACCCUCUUGCCGUGAGUUAUGAGAUGUGGUCAUUUUAAAAAGUGUGUAGCACCUCCCCCUUUGCCCUCUUGCUCCUGCUCCCACCAUGUGAGAUACUUGCUCCCCCUUCACCUUCUGCCAUGAUUGUAAGCUUCCUGAGGCCUCCCCAGAAGCAGAUGCCAGCAUUAUGCUUCCUGUACAGCCUGCAGAACCACAGCCAAUUAAAGCUCUUUUCUUAUAAAUUA
rnacentral:lncRNA from 10 species